rnacentral:rRNA from 1 species
CAGCGCCACGAGUGGUAACCGCGAUUAUUGGGCCUAAAGCGUCCGUAGCCGGAUUGAUAAAUCCUUUGUGAAAUUGUGCGGCUCAACCGAACAACGUGCAAGGGACACUGUUAAUCUCGAGACCGGGAGGAGUCAGAAGUAUUCCUGAGGGAGCGGUAAAAUGUUAUAAUCUCAGGAGGACUACCUGUGGCGAAGGCGUCUGACCAGAACGGAUCUGACGGUGAGGGACGAAAGCUAGGGGAGCGAACCGGAUUAGAUACCCGAGUAGUCC